rnacentral:misc_RNA from 1 species
GACUCUCACAACACGGAAAGGAUGCAAUAUGCUUAAUGGAUCGGCACGAUGCGACGUUCGCGUCGCGUUUUCUAAUUUUUGCUCGGCACCGGCUCGCUUAAGCGUUCUCACGCCAUUAACUAAUUGACGCGACCAGAUUCUCGCGAUAUCAUUGGUCAAGAACAGAAGGAACUCCAUCCUUGGCAUCUGAGGAUAAAGGGAAUUUCCGGGAACCUGAAACCUGGCGGAGACGCGAUAUGCUUCGGUAAAGUGAUAGUAUUUGCACGGUAUAGGCGAUCUCUCUAUGUUAUAUUGUUAUCUUCGUUAACUUCGCAUGGUUGGCACAGGUUUGAUUAUUUUACUGC